rnacentral:lncRNA from 1 species
UCUUCAAUCUUCAAGAGUGCCUUAUAUACUCGCUUGCUAGUGUUGUAGCCGUUGUGAGACAAAAUCCAACCGUUGCUCUAGCCGUUGUGAAAUGAGAUCAAGUCGUUGAUUCAAAUGGCUUUGGUUGGUAGCUCCAUUUAAUGCGAGCUCAGAAGUAAGUCUAUCCUUUAGCCGUAAAGUUGAUGUUUGUCAGCUAUUAGGUGGUGAUAGACUUGGGCCACUUUUCAUAUAUGAGACAAUUGGGAAAUAUGAUGUUGACGGCUUGUACUUUUCCCUUGUUGGUCAGCGUGCCUUUAGCUGAAGUAAACUAGUCUUCAC